rnacentral:rRNA from 1 species
UACGGAGGGGGCUAGCGUUGUUCGGAAUUACUGGGCGUAAAGCGCACGUAGGCGGCUUUGUAAGUUAGAGGUGAAAGCCCGGGGCUCAACUCCGGAAUUGCCUUUAAGACUGCAUCGCUUGAAUCAUGGAGAGGUGAGUGGAAUUCCGAGUGUAGAGGUGAAAUUCGUAGAUAUUCGGAAGAACACCAGUGGCGAAGGCGGCUCACUGGACAUGUAUUGACGCUGAGGUGCGAAAGCGUGGGGAGCAAACAGG